rnacentral:rRNA from 1 species
AUAGGGACCAUGGUCUCAAAGGCGCAUAACAACCGUGCGGAGUACGACAAGUCUUUGCAUGAAGCGCGCUGGGAGAUCGACUUGAAGGUGCAAAAGGAUCGCGAUGACGUAGAUAAGAAACUCAAAAAAGAGCGUUCAUAUGUGGACAGGAUGAUAAAGGAGGAGCGUGAGGAGUUUCCCCGUAAGAUGGCGAAGAUGCGUCUUGAGAUUGAAGAAAAGUAUAAGCGGGACUGUAAUGACAUGGAAAAAAAGUUUUUCCUUGGCUACAAGGAAAUGCAUCAAACGUUGCAAAAGGACCGGAAGCUUGUGGACAGUAAGCUGCUACAGGAGCGGUCGGACAUGGACAGUAAGCUGCUACAGGAGCGGUCAGACAUGGAUUAUAAGGCCAUGCUGGAGAAGGUCCACUUGGAAGGACAUAUGUUAGAAGACCGUGCGAUCUCACGGCCACCCCGACAACAUGCU